AUUGAACGCUGGCGGAAUGCUUUACACAUGCAAGUCGAACGGUAGAGGGGGCAACCCCUCGAGAGUGGCGAACGGGUGAGUAAUAUAUCGGAACGUGCCCAGUCGUGGGGGAUAACGUAGCGAAAGUUACGCUAAUACCGCAUACGAUCUACGGAUGAAAGCGGGGGACUCGCAAGAGCCUCGCGCGAUUGGAGCGGCCGAUAUCAGAUUAGGUAGUUGGUGGGGUAAAGGCUCACCAAGCCAACGAUCUGUAGCUGGUCUGAGAGGACGACCAGCCACACUGGAACUGAGACACGGUCCAGACUCCUACGGGAGGCAGCAGUGGGGAAUUUUGGACAAUGGACGCAAGUCUGAUCCAGCCAUUCCGCGUGCAGGAUGAAGGCCCUCGGGUUGUAAACUGCUUUUGUACGGAACGAAAAGGUCUCCUAUUAAUACUAGGGGCUCAUGACGGUACCGUAAGAAUAAGCA
rnacentral:rRNA from 1 species